rnacentral:rRNA from 1 species
UACGAAGGGGGCUAGCGUUGCUCGGAAUCACUGGGCGUAAGGCGCACGUAGGCGGAUUGUUAAGUCAGGGGUGAAAUCCUGGAGCUCAACUCCAGAACUGCCUUUGAUACUGGCGAUCUUGAGUCCGGGAGAGGUGAGUGGAACUGCGAGUGUAGAGGUGAAAUUCGUAGAUAUUCGCAAGAACACCAGUGGCGAAGGCGGCUCACUGGCCCGAUACUGACGCUGAGGCACGAAAGCGUGGGGAGCAAACAGG